AGCUCAAAUUUGAAAUCUGGCUCUCGGGCCCGAGUUGUAAUUUGUAGAGGAUGCUUUUGGUGAGGUGCCUUCCGAGUUCCCUGGAACGGGACGCCAUAGAGGGUGAGAGCCCCGUCUGGUUGGACACCGAGCCUCUGUAAAGCUCCUUCGACGAGUCGAGUAGUUUGGGAAUGCUGCUCUAAAUGGGAGGUAUAUGUCUUCUAAAGCUAAAUACUGGCCAGAGACCGAUAGCGCACAAGUAGAGUGAUCGAAAGAUGAAAAGCACNUUGAAAAGAGAGUUAAAAAGCACGUGAAAUUGUUGAAAGGGAAGCGCUUAUGACCAGACUUGGGCUUGGUUGAUCAUCCGGCGUUCUCGCCGGUGCACUCUUCCAGUUCAGGCCAGCAUCAGUUUGCUUCGGGGGAUAAAAGUUUCGGGAAUGUGGCUCCUCCGGGAGUGUUAUAGCCCGUUGCAUAAUACCCUGAUCCAGACUGAGGUUCGCGCAUUUAUGCAAGGAUGCUGGCGUAAUGGUCAUCAGCGACCCGUCUUGAAACACGGACCAAGGAGUCGUCUUCGUAUGCGAGUGUUCGGGUGUCAAACCCCUACGCGUAAUGAAAGUGAACGCAGGUGAGAGCUUCGGCGCAUCAUCGACCGAUCCUGAUGUUCUCGGAUGGAUUUGAGUAAGAGCAUACGGGGCCGGACCCGAAAGAAGGUGAACUAUGCCUGUAUAGGGUGAAGCCAGAGGAAACUCUGGUGGAGGCUCGCAGCGGUUCUGACGUGCAAAUCGAUCGUCAAAUA
rnacentral:rRNA from 1 species